GAAAAGAAAAGAAAAGAAAAGAAAAGAAAAGAAAAGAAAAGACCUCAGAUACAAUUUUUAAUAAUGCCUGUUUACUGAAAAUUCAACUCUGCACUAAUUUAACACACAUAAAUGUUUAUGGAAAUUCUGACUCGCAGGGGCUCUGGUGGAGGCCUGAGAGAACUGGGCGGAGAGGGAGCAGAUGAAGCUAUAAUUUACAGCCUUCAUGAUAUAUCUACAUUGUCCUUGAAUACCAAAGGAGCUGAGAAACUUUCACUGGGCAGCCAAAAUCCCUCCUUCAAGCAACUCCCUCUGUUUCCCACUGGUGCUUGGAAACAGGAGGACUUGAGCCCUGGUGCUCUUUGCUAGUCACCGCACCCUGUGUCUGAUCUUUUCCAAUUACUUCUGUGUUACAGUUAGUAUUGAAUUUAUUGUGCUAGGAAACUGUCUGGCUACAGAUAUGAAAUUAAUAAUGAAAUAAUUAGGAGAGACAUUAUUUUAUUUCCUUCAAAGUAUUCAAAGUAUUAAAAUGAAUGUUAGUUUAGUAUUUGAGAAGAAAGGCCACGAUUUUAUAUUAAAUAGAGAGUGGCAAUUAAAGAACUAGCUGCCACCACUAGCACUACCUGACCUCUACAGUCUUACAUGGAGACUGUGAGCUAGCUGGCAUCACACCUAGUGAGCUCACAUGGCAGAAGAGCUUUGUGACAAAACUGUCAUUAGACCUGCACAAACUCAGGCAUGCAUAUUUUCAAGAAUGAGAGUGGUCCAACAACCCCAACUGUCUCAACAUGUCUUCACAGGGGAGAUGCUCAAGCUCACUAAUCAUCUUCAUGUCCCUCUGCACUCUUUUCAGUAUGUCCACGUCCUUCUUAUGAUCGGAGUCCCAGAGCGGGAUGCAGCACUGCAGGUGGGAUCUCAUGAGAUCAGAGUUAUGGAGCAGAAUCCCCUCCCUCGACCUGCUGGCCACAUUGCUUUUGAUGCAGCCCAGGACAUGGUUGACUCUCUGGGAUGCCAGUGCACAUUGCUGGGUCAUGUUGAGCUUUUCAUCUACCGACACCCUCAAGUCCAUCUCUACAGGGGGCUGCUCUCAGUCCACUUAUUGUCCAGACUGUAUCUAUGUUUGGAAUUGCCCCAACUCAGGUGCAGGACCUUGCACUUGGCCUUAUUGAACUUAGUAAGAUUCACACAGGCCCACUUCUCAAGCUUGUCAAGGUCCCUCUGGGUGGCAUCCAUUCUUUCUAGAGUAUCCAACAGCUUGGUGUUGUCAGCAAACUUGAUGAGGGUACACUCAAUCCGACUGUCCAUGUUGCUGACAAAGUUGUUAAAUAAUACUCAUUGCAGUAUGGAUCUCUGAGGGUCCCAAGUCAUCACUGUUUUCCACCUGGGCAUCAGGCUGUUGGCUGCAACUCUCUGAGUGCAGCCACUUCUUUAUCCACUGAGCAUUCCACCCGUUAAAUCCAUGUCUCUCCAGUGUAGGAGACAGUGGUAGUGUGGGACAGUAUCGAAUGCUUUGCACAAGGCGAGAGAUUAUGUCAGUCAUUCUUCCCCCAUCCAUAAAUGCUGUAACCCCAUCAGAGAAGGCCACCAAACUGGGCAGGCAUGAUUUGAACUUCACAAAGCCAUGUUGGUUGUCACCAAUCACCUCCCUGUCCUCCAUAUGCCUCAGCAUAGUUUCCAGGAGGAUCUGCUUCAUGAUCUUGCCAGGCACCGAGGUGAGAAUGACUGGCCUAUAGUUCCCCAAGUCUUCAUUUUUUAUCUUUUUUAAAAAUGGGGGUUAUAAAUGCCUUUUCCAGUCAUUGGGAACUUUACCAGUUCAAGUGAAGGAGUAUCUCAUUUAACCAUUACUAAUCUCCUUGUUUGGCCUGAUAACACCAUCACUUUCUCUUGGGACUGCCAGUUUAUUUUGUAACUGAGCAAGAUCCAUCUGUCUUGUGUAAAGAAAGCUAAAGUAGAUUGUGGUUUUUUCUCACUCAUUAAGUAAACCUAGUAAAGCUCCUUUCAUUGCUGGAUACCUAGUAUUCUAGAAUUGUCCUUGAAGUAUUUAUAGUGAUCUUCAAUUCUACUCAAAAUUUACAGUAUCAUAAUUAUCCAAAGUGCUCACAGCACAACACACCAUUAGAGCUGUUAUUGCUACUUCAUGCAACCAUUCCCAAACAAUACAAAAUAUAGGAGAGAAUUACCUGUAACAGUAACCCACACUAGAUACAGGCAUGUCUGAAAAAGUGAGUUUUAUAAAGUGCAAAAAUACUUAACAGGUAUCUAGACAAUUGAUAUUUAAGGCCCAAAUAAUCCACAUGGAUUAAGUUUCACAUAUAAGACGUGAUAACACUUCUAAGCUUUGUUACAAGGGACCUAAAGGUAAAGUGAUAGUUUUCUUGUGCGUUUAAUAUACUGAGACAGGCAUAAUUUUUAAAGUAUAAUCUAUAGAAUAAGGAACAGUUAAAUUUGACACUACUUGCAAUCUGUUUGUUUAGCUAAAAUCUGUUCUGUCAUAUCUGUUUAUCAUGAUUUAUUGUUACCUCUUCAAAGAGCAGUGAUGAAGAUACUGAAACUUUCCACUAUUCUAAUGGUUAAGUCACCAAAGAUACAGUAUAGUAAAUGAAGAAGUGAUCUUCAAACAUACUCAUAGAUAAUAGGACUUUUAGGAAUUUCCAUAGCAUUUUGGAGGAUGUACAUAUAAAAACUACAAUCUAAAACUCCUUUGAGAAAUUAACUGGUAGUUUUUUCAUUAGUGCAAAUUAUUCCUAACUACACAAUGAUUGUAAUCUGCUAGAUGAAACUUGCUUGGGCCUUCUUUAAAAGUACUGCAUCGCACAUACCAACUGAAAUAAUUCAAACCUUUCACAGACCAUGCUUGCAGUAAGUGGAAAAAAUGUAUAUUCUUAUCUGUCUUUUGCACGGGGCAUGAAGAUUUAGGUAAAACACAUAAGGACAAAUUAAAUUCCUGACAAAAGUUAAUGAAUUAAUUGCAGGGGAGAGUGAGAAGUAUGGCUAAGGUUGUAAUACACUAUGCUUUCUAGUACAUGUAACUUCAAGCUAAAGGAAUUUUCAUUAAGAAUAAAUGUUAUUUUUCCUCUC